AAGUUUUGGUAGGGCAGGGCCAGCUCGAUUGGCAGAUCCCCUAGUGUUGACUAACAAGGUGGCUUUUGCUAAAUGUCUAUCCCAAUGUUUGAAUGUCCCAGCACCCAUUGCUCUCAGUGUAGUCUUUAACAGUCCAUUGUAUUGUUCAGUUUUCCCGGAGGCUGGUGCAUGUUCGGGGAUGCGAUAUAUACCUACUCAAUGCCAUGCUCUUUGGCCCAGAUGUCUAAGAGGUUGUUUCAGAAAUGAGUCCCAUUGUCUGACUCAUUUCUUUCUAGGGUGCCAUGUCGCCAUAAAACUUGCUUUUCAAGGCCCAGGAUAGUGUUCCGGGUGGUGGCAUGGGGCAA